UGGGGAAUAUUGCACAAUGGGGGAAACCCUGAUGCAGCGACGCCGCGUGAGUGAAGAAGUAUCUCGGUACGUAAAGCUCUAUCAGCAGGGAAGAAAAUGACGGUACCUGACUAAGAAGCCCCGGCUAACUACGUGCCAGCAGCCGCGGUAAUACGUAGGGGGCAAGCGUUAUCCGGAUUUACUGGGUGUAAAGGGAGCGUAGACGGCAGCACAAGUCUGGAGUGAAAUCCCGGGGCUUAACCCCGGAACUGCUUUGGAAACUGUGCGGCUGGAGUGCAGGAGGGGUAAGCGGAAUUCCUAGUG
rnacentral:rRNA from 1 species